rnacentral:rRNA from 1 species
UACCAGCACCCCGAGUGGUCGGGACGUUUAUUGGGCCUAAAGCAUCCGUAGCCGGUUCUACAAGUCCUUCCGUUAAAUCCAACUGCUUAACAGGUGGGCUGCGGAAGAUACUAUAGAGCUAGGAGGCGGGAGAGGCAAGCGGUACUACGUGAUGGGUGGAGGGUAAAAUCCUUGAUCCAUUGAAGACCACCAGUGGCGAAGGCGGCUUGCCAGAACGCGCUCGACGGUGAGGGAUGAAAGCUGGGGGAGCAAACCGG